CGGGCCGUGGUGUAGUGGCAGCACGCAGUCUUCGGGUGGCUGUAGCCCGGGUUCAAAUCCCGGCGGCCCGA
rnacentral:tRNA from 1 species